UAGGGUCUGAUUGCUGCCUGAGACACCAUAUCGGUACUCCUCAGAGUUGAGAAUAGACACCUUGAUGGCUCCUCUGGCAGUUCUUGAUGACCAUGGAUGAGCUAAUGGCUGUGGUCUCAAUGGUGGCUUCUUGAGGAGCAUGCAGAGAAAUUGUUUUAGCCUCUGAUAAAUAAAACAGCCUGCCAUGAGAAAAUUACAGCAAGGAAAUUACAGACAUCAUCUCCUUUGAAUAGGGAAAAGGUAACAGGUUCUCCACAGGCAACCCAUUUAUCAGAACCACGUGGACAUCUUUCAACUAUCCUGGACAACAACCAUGUUAUUUCUUAGCCAUUGGACUUCCACCUUAUCUUUAUUGAGUUCUGCUAAAAAGACAACAUCAGCACCAGGGGCUUCAAGAAUGUCUUGUGGAGGCCUGAUGAUCUCAACAGGAAUUUCUGGAAAGAAAAUGUUAAAUAAAUACAAAUAUGUUUACAUUUUGAUUAACAAUUUUUAAAAAUUGGUAACAUUAGAAUUGUUCUUUCACUUAAUAUGUACCUUCCACAAAAAGUCUAGCACGAGACUUCCUGUCUUCUACUCCGCAAGCAUAUUCACACUCAUCAUCCAGCCUGCAAUCUUUUAUAAUGAGUCUGUGUAUACUUCCAUCUUUUUCAAAUUUGUAUCUAAAGGAGACAUUGGAUUAUCAGUUAGCUUGCAU
rnacentral:antisense_RNA from 1 species